AUUCCAGCUCCAAUAGCGUAUAUUAAAGUUGUUGCGGUUAAAAAGCUCGUAGUUGGAUUUCUGCCGAGGACGACCGGUCCGCCCUCUGGGUGAGCAUCUGGCUCGACCUGGGCAUCUUCUUGGAGAACGUAGCUGCACUUGAUUGUGUGGUGCGGUAUCCAGGACUUUUACUUUGAGGAAAUUAGAGUGUUUCAAGCAGGCACACGCCUUGAAUACAUUAGCAUGGAAUAAUAAGAUAGGACCUCGGUUCUAUUUUGUUGGUUUCUAGUGCUGAGGUAAUGAUUAAUAGGGAUAGUUGGGGGCAUUCGUAUUUAACUGUCAGAGGUGAAAUUCUCAGACCAGCGGAAGACGAACCACUGCGAAAGCAUUUGCCAGGGAUGUUUUCAUCA
rnacentral:rRNA from 1 species